rnacentral:lncRNA from 1 species
UUUUCUGUUCUUAUUGUGUUUUCAGCCUUUUUCUAUCUUAAGGAAUCAGCCCAAAAAUCCCCAAUUUCUAGGGUUUUUCCAUACUCUUUUUGGGUGAAAUUAGAUUGUCGAAAUUUGGGGAAAACUAUCUUGGUGUUCAAUUGGGCAGAAUCACAAUCUCCUUGAGGGUUUCAAGAACCCUAACACUUAUUUCUAUUCUCAAUUUGAUUCUUUGCUGAUUUGGGGAUUUUAUUUCAGAUCUGAAAAUUCAAAAAUCUAAUCUUUUAAUUUUCUGUUUCGUUUCAGAUCUAAUUGUUUAGGGUUUUCGUAGGAGUUUCCCGUGACUUGGCAACUCGAUCUUGGUCCGCGCGCAACCCCGUAUCAUUUGGUAUCAGAUUUUGGGCGUUUUGGGUGUUCUUGGUUGAUUUCUAAACUGAUCUUUAUUUUUUAAAGCAUAAACAGCAGUUUUACCCAGAAAAAAUUGUUCAAAAAAAAAUUCAUUUGAGUGGGUAAACGUUGUCCUAUUGAUCUGAAAUUUUACAUACAUGUUUUUGGCACUGUGAUUGAAUAUAAAAAAAUUAUUCCCGCAAAAAAAUCAGUCAAAAAAGUCAAAAAAAUCAAAAAAUACGAAAUUCAAUAAAAAUUUAAAAAAAGAUUCAGCGGGUUGAAUUUGGUGCCCAAAAUUUCCAGAUCGAAAAUUCAAUAUAUAAGGACACUCCAGAUUUAAUUUCGUGAUUUUUGGAGAUCGGGAACACCUCGAACGAAGUUGUCAAGUUACUCCGCAGUUUUUCGGGUUUUCUGUUUUCAGCAAUUUUUAUUGAUUCUUAGCUGUAGGUUUUCAUUUGUUUGCUUUUUAUUCUCCUUUUACAAUAUCUAAC